rnacentral:rRNA from 1 species
UACGGAAGGUCCGGGCGUUAUCCGGAUUUAUUGGGUUUAAAGGGAGCGUAGGCCGGAGAUUAAGCGUGUUGUGAAAUGUAGGCGCUCAACGUCUGCACUGCAGCGCGAACUGGUUUCCUUGAGUACGCACAAAGUGGGCGGAAUUCGUGGUGUAGCGGUGAAAUGCUUAGAUAUCACGAAGAACUCCGAUUGCGAAGGCAGCUCACUGGAGCGCAACUGACGCUGAAGUUCGAAAGUGCGGGUAUCGAACAGG